rfam:Triticum aestivum genome assembly, contig: Triticum_aestivum_CS42_TGACv1_scaffold_557260_7AL
UAAAUACUCCCUCCGUCCGAAAAUACUUGUCGGAGAAAUUAAUAAAAAUUGAUGUAUCUAGAACUAAAAUACGUCCAAAUACAUCCAUUUCUCCGACGAGUAUUUCCGGACGGAGGGAGUAGUUG